UACAGAGGCCUCGAGCGUUAGGCGGAAUCACUGGGCUUAAAGCGUGUGUAGGCGGACUUCUAAGUGCCUUGUGAAAUCCCACGGCUCACCCGUGGAACGGCUGGGCAUACUGGGAGUCUUGAGCCACCUAGGGGCUGCCGGAACAAAUGGUGGAGCGGUGAAAUGCGUAGAUAUCGCUUGGAACGCCGAAGGUGAAAACAGGCUGCUGGGGUUGCGCCGACGCUGAGACACGAAAGCCAGGGGAGCAAACGGG
rnacentral:rRNA from 1 species